UACGAAGGGGGCUAGCGUUGCUCGGAAUCACUGGGCGUAAAGGGCGCGUAGGCGGCGUUUUAAGUCGGGGGUGAAAGCCUGUGGCUCAACCACAGAAUGGCCUUCGAUACUGGGACGCUUGAGUAUGGUAGAGGUUGGUGGAACUGCGAGUGUAGAGGUGAAAUUCGUAGAUAUUCGCAAGAACACCGGUGGCGAAGGCGGCAUCCUGGACCGACAUUGACGCUGAGAACCGAAAGCUAGGGGAGCAAACGGG
rnacentral:rRNA from 1 species